AGAACAUCUAUGGAUUCUAAAAGACUACGGAGAGAAUCAGAGAGAGCACUACACUGGUCAAUUACAGCACAGAUCUCUCCAGUACUUCUGAGCAACCAUCUUUCAAGCUUUCCUGUACCUACUUAUAAAGUCUGGCGCCUGGACUCUUUUUCCACAACUGACGCUUGGACUACUGCAGUCAUUUGCCAACAAGAACAGAGGUCCAGGAGUACCUGGGAGUUUAGUCCACAUACCCUUUCCCCAAUGACUGACUGCUGCCGGGGUAGGAAAGCCCAGCUUUCUUGCCCGGACUUUGACCAAAUUCUGAACCAUAAUUUAUACGGCAGUGCUCUGCUGCAUGAUCAUGCUGGAGCUGGAACUUCGCCUAAAAUCGCGUACAUUCUGGGUUUCUUCCUGUCUUGACCUGCUUCUCCCGCUCCCUUAUGAAUUUUUUUUCUGGUAGCAAAUUCUUAAUAAAUCACUUGCACAAGAAUCUUCA
rnacentral:lncRNA from 1 species